GGUUGCUCUUCACUGGAGUUAGGUGCACUCGAAGACUGGCCAUAACAGAUUGGCGCACUUGGUAGGGGCCUAAUCCAAUCAUCAUGGCAAAAACAUAAGCCCAAAAUGUUUCCACCGACUCCGCUUGGCAACCUUCCCGUCGGAAAGAUCUCCCACCUCUAUUGGUAGAGCCCAAUUCCUCACGUCCGGCCAUCACUGCAGAUAUGCAAUAAUUCGCUACCUUAGUGUAACAGGUGAAAAUACUGAUAGAGGUAGUGCACAGUCUCCAGCAAUAGCAAAUGCAACAACAACAAUAACAGCAACCAAUAGUGAAAGAGCUGGCACCGCAUACACUGCCAUCCAAACACAAUCGUCGCACCCCAUGAUGAUCUCCUUCUCCAUCUUCAAAAUGAUGACCUACUCGACAUGCGCACCAUGUCAAGCCACCACCAUCCUAGCACUUCCAUCGUGUCGCCCACCAACAGUGAUGGUCUCCUCCUCACCACCAUAGUAACAAGAAGGGGAAGAGGACGUGCUCGCUUUCAAGUUCUUCAUCCUCAAGUUCUUCAGGAGAUUCUACCUCUGCAUUCUCACAGCAACGGCAACUCAAUGCCUAUGAGCGUAAGCUCAGAGACAUUGAUCACCAACUCGCUUAGCUCCAAGUGGAUGGUUGAGGGUUUUUCAAUGACUUUGACAUCCACACUACUCCACCCUUCUUCCGACGCAUCUUAGACGAGCCAAUCCCAACUCGAUUUAAGAUGUCACAGAUGGAGCCUUAUGAUGGCUCCACCGAACUUGUUGACCAUCUGGAGAGUUAAAAGGCUCUCAUGAUGAUUUAGGAGGCAGUCGAUACCCUCUUAUGUCUUGAUUUCUCAGCAACCAUCCGGAAAGCUACCCAGGUCUGGUAUUUUGGGCUCUAAUUGAGAAGUAUCCAUUCCUUCGAGCAGCUGGAACAGUCAUUCAUAGUCCACUUCAACACCAGCAAAAAAAUACCAUGAAUGUUUGAUAGCCUUUUUUCUCUCAAGCAGUAAGAGGGAGAAAAACUUAGAGAGUUUGUGGCAUGUUUCAAUAUUGCCACACUUGAGAUUCGGGACCUUAAUGAGGACAUGGCCUUCUCAGCCAUGAAGAGAGGGCUCAGAAGCUCCAAGUUUACUUGGUCAUUGGACA
rnacentral:lncRNA from 1 species